rnacentral:tRNA from 1 species
AUAAAGUUGGCAGAAAUAUGUAGGUGAUUUAGGUUCAUUUUAUAAAAAUAAUUAUUAUUUUUACUUUAUA